CCUACGGGAGGCAGCAGUGAGGAAUAUUGGUCAAUGGACGAGAGUCUGAACCAGCCAAGCAGCGUGAAGGAUGACUGCCCUAGGGGUUGUAAACUUCUUUUAUAUGGGAAUAAAAUGUUCCACGUGUGGGAUUUUGUAUGUACCAUAUGCAUAAGGAUCGGCUAACUCCGUGCCAGCAGCCGCGGUAAUACGGAGGAUCCGAGCGUUAUCCGGAUUUAUUGGGUUUAAAGGGAGCGUAGGUGGGUUGUUAAGUCAGUUGUGAAAUGUUGCGGCUCAACCGUAAAAUUGCAGUUGAAACUGGCAGGCUUGAGUACAGUAGAGGGGGGCGGAAUUCGUGGUGUAGCGGUGAAAUGCGUAGAGAUCACGAAGAACUCCGAUUGCGAAGGCAGCUCACUGGACUGCGACUGACGCUGAGGCUCGAAAGUGUGGGUAGCAAACAGGAUUAGAUACCCGAGUAGUC
rnacentral:rRNA from 1 species